rnacentral:rRNA from 1 species
GAGACCUUGGUCUUUUGAUUCAAAGCCCGCAAGGGCGUCUAAGGAGGGGCCCGCGCCCGAUUAGCUAGUUGGUGAGGUAACGGCUCACCAAGGCUUUGAUCGGUAGCCGGUCUGAGAGGAUGGCCGGCCACACUGGAACUGAGACACGGUCCAGACUCCUACGGGAGGCAGCAGUGGGGAAUAUUGCGCAAUGGGCGAAAGCCUGACGCAGCGACGCCGCGUGGGGGAUGAAGCUUUUCGGAGUGUAAACCCCUUUCGACCCGGACGAAUGACCCGCAAGGGUUUGACGGUACGGGUAUAAGAAGCCCCGGCUAACUACGUGCCAGCAGCCGCGGUAAUACGUAGGGGGCCAGCGUUGCUCGGAAUUACUGGGCGUAAAGGGUUCGUAGGUGGUGCGGCAAGUUGGGAGUGAAAUCUCUGGGCUUAACCCAGAGGUUGCUUUCAAAACUGCCGCGCUCGAGUGCCAAAAAAGGUCAGUGGAAUUGCAGGUGUAGCGGUGA